rnacentral:lncRNA from 1 species
CUGGACCAAUGUCUGCCCACACUAGGAAGAACAGAUUGCUCUGCUCAUGUGAUCCAGCAACCUCCUCUGCUCCAUGAUGCCAGAAUUAAUCCCCUGUCAUCUUUUACUGAAAUAUUAGCUCCUGUGAGGCAUGCACUGUCUCAUCAUUUUUCUUAAAUCUGGAUAGAUUCAGUUCCACUUUUUAUCUGCUUCUUCAUCCUCAUUUAUUCCCUAAAAUCUUUCACACAGUUCCUAUAGAGUCAAAUCUAGUUGAGAUGUGAUUACCUACAUCUCUCUCCUCCUCUCUUUUUCCCCUUGCUCACACCAUGACGCAGCGUGUUUCUCCCUGAGGAUGGAGGAGGAAAGGUGCAGCAGAGGACAAAGCUCUCUGCCAACAUCACCAAGGGGAAGAGGGAAUACUGGGAAGCAGAGAGCCAUGAUGUCUGGGGCAUCACUGAUGAAGAAGAGACAACAGGAAGAAUGGAAUGCAAUGUUUUUCAGUGCUCACCUUAGCAAAAACAAGAUCCUCAGCAUUAAAGAAAGAAGGAUUUGCUUGGGAAGUUCACUAUUUUUCUUUACUCUGGGAUACACUGCACUUUUACUAAUCCUCUGUUAACUAUCCACGUGUGUCUUUACAGGCAGGAGGCAUAAAUCUGCAAUGAAGCAGCAUAUGAAGACAUGACCUUCUCUCAGCAGUCAUUUUGUUUGAACGGCUACAGCUAGGCUUGAAUCUCAAUUUCCCCUUUACCUUUCUGUCUUUGAAAAUGUAUUAUCACUAACACCCUAGACAUGUAGGUCACAUCUCCAAAGAGACCUCACCAGGACGCCUGCAUUCAUAUCUGAAUAAAAAGCAGAGUGCUGACA